CCUACGGGUGGCAGCAGUGAGGGAUAUUGGUCAAUGGGGGAAACCCUGAACCAGCAACGCCGCGUGAGGGAAGACGGUUUUCGGAUUUUAAACCUCUGUCCUCUGUGAAGAUAAUGACGGUAGCAGAGGAGGAAGCUCCGGCUAACUACGUGCCAGCAGCCGCGGUAAUACGUAGGGAGCAAGCGUUGUCCGGAUUUGCUGGGUGUAAAGGGUGCGUAGGCGGCUUUGCAAGUCAGAAGUGAAAUCCAUGGGCUGAACCCAUGAACUGCUUUUGAAACUGCAGAGCUUGAGUGGAGUAGGGGUAGGCGGAAGUCCCGGUGUAGCGGUGAAAUGCGUAGAGAUCGGGAGGAACACCAGUGGCGAAGGCGGCCUACUGGGCUCUAACUGACGCUGAGGCACGAAAGCGUGGGUAGCAAACAGGAUUAGAUACCCGGGUAGUC
rnacentral:rRNA from 1 species